GACAGAGGGUGCAAACGUUGUUCGGAUUUACUGGGCGUAAAGCGCGUGUAGGCGGCUUGGCAAGUCGGAUGUGAAAGCCCACGGCUCAACCGUGGAAGCGCAUCCGAAACGGCCUCGCUCGAGUCUCGGAGAGGAAGGUGGAAUGCUUGGUGUAGAGGUGAAAUGCGCAGAUAUCAGGAGGAACACCAAUGGCGAAGGCAGCACUCUGGGACGUGACUGACGCUGAGACGCGAAAGCGUGGGGAGCAAACAGG
rnacentral:rRNA from 1 species